rnacentral:rRNA from 1 species
UACGUAGGGCGCAAGCGUUGUCCGGAAUUAUUGGGCGUAAAGAGCUCGUAGGCGGUUUGUCGCGUCUGCUGUGAAAACCUAAGGCUCAACCUUGGGCUUGCAGUGGGUACGGGCAGACUAGAGUGCGGUAGGGGUGACUGGAAUUCCUGGUGUAGCGGUGGAAUGCGCAGAUAUCAGGAGGAACACCGGUGGCGAAGGCGGUUCUCUGGGCCUUACCUGACGCUCAGGCGCGAAAGCUAGGGGAGCGAACAGG